rnacentral:rRNA from 1 species
UACAGAGGUCCCAAGCGUUGUUCGGAUUCAUUGGGCGUAAAGGGUGCGUAGGUGGCGCCGUAAGUGGGGUGUGAAAUUUCGGAGCUUAACUCCGAAACUGCAUUCCAUACUGCGGUGCUUGAGGACUGGAGAGGAGACUGGAAUUUACGGUGUAGCGGUGAAAUGCGUAGAUAUCGUAAGGAAGACCAGUGGCGAAGGCGGGUCUCUGGACAGUUCCUGACGCUGAGGCGCGAAAGCUAGGGGAGCGAACAGG